ACUCCUACGGGAGGCAGCAGUGGGGAAUAUUGCACAAUGGGCGCAAGCCUGAUGCAGCAACGCCGUGUGAGUGAUGAAGGCCUUCGGGUCGUAAAACUCUGUCCUAUGGGAAGAAUAAAAUGACGGUACCAUAGGAGGAAGCCCCGGCUAACUACGUGCCAGCAGCCGCGGUAAUACGUAGGGGGCAAGCGUUAUCCGGAAUCACUGGGCGUAAAGGGUGCGUAGGUGGCUUAUCAAGCCAGGGGUGAAAGGCAUUGGCUCAACCAAUGUAAGCCUUUGGAACUGAUAGGCUUGAGUGCAGGAGAGGUAAGUGGAAUUCCUAGUGUAGAGGUGAAAUUCGUAGAUAUUAGGAGGAACACCAGUGGCGAAGGCGACUUACUGGACUGUAACUGACACUGAGGCACGAAAGCGUGGGGAGCGAACAGGAUUAGAUACCCUGGUAGUC
rnacentral:rRNA from 1 species